rnacentral:rRNA from 1 species
GACGAACGCUGGCGGCGUGCUUAACACAUGCAAGUCGAACGGAAAGGCCCUGCUUUUGUGGGGUGCUCGAGUGGCGAACGGGUGAGUAACACGUGAGUAACCUGCCCUUGACUUUGGGAUAACUUCAGGAAACUGGGGCUAAUACCGGAUAGGAGCUCCUGCUGCAUGGUGGGGGUUGGAAAGUUUCGGCGGUUGGGGAUGGACUCGCGGCUUAUCAGCUUGUUGGCGGGGUAGUGGCUUACCAAGGCUUUGACGGGUAGCCGGCCGAGAGGGUGACCGGCCACAUUGGGACUGAGAUACGGCCCAGACUCCUACGGGAGGCAGCAGUGGGGAAUAUUGCACAAUGGGCGGAAGCCUGAUGCAGCAACGCCGCGUGCGGGAUGACGGCCUUCGGGUUGUAAACCGCUUUCGCCUGUGACGAAGCGUGAGUGACGGUAAUGGGUAAAGAAGCACCGGCUAACUACGUG